AUCUUUGAACGCAAAUGGCGCUCUUGGGUUCUCCCAGGAGCAUGUCUGUCUGAGUGUCGGUU
rnacentral:rRNA from 1 species